CCUACGGGUGGCAGCAGUGAGGAAUAUUGGUCAAUGGCCGAAAGCCUGAACCAGCCAAGCCGCGUGAGGGAAGACGGCCCAAUGCAUCGCAGACCUCUUUUGCCGGGGGGCAAAAAGCCGGACGCGUACGGCACCGAGAGUACCCGGAGAAAAAGCAUCGGCUAACUCCGUGCCAGCAGCCGCGGUAAUACGGAGGAUGCGAGCGUUAUCCGGAUUUAUUGGGUUUAAAGGGUGCGCAGGCGGGCAGUUAAGUCGGCGGUAAAAUUGCGGGGCUCAACCCCGCCAAGCCGUCGAAACUGGGUGGCUAGAGUGGGCGGGAGGUAUGCGGAAUGCGGGGUGUAGCGGUGAAAUGCAUAGAUAUCGCGCAGAACCCCGAUUGCGAAGGCAGCGUGCCGUGGCCCAACUGACGCUGAGGCACGAAAGCGGGGGGAUCGAACAGGAUUAGAUACCCUAGUAGUC
rnacentral:rRNA from 1 species